UACAUAGGUCUCAAGCGUUGUUCGGAUUCAUUGGGCGUAAAGGGUGCGUAGGCGGCGCGGUAAGUCGGGUGUGAAAUCUCGGAGCUUAACUCCGAAACUGCAUUCGAUACUGCCGUGCUUGAGGACUGGAGAGGAGACUGGAAUUUACGGUGUAGCGGUGAAAUGCGUAGAUAUCGUAAGGAAGACCAGUGGGGAAGGCGGGUCUCUGGACAGUUCCUGACGCUGAGGCACGAAGGUCAGGGGAGCAAACGGG
rnacentral:rRNA from 1 species